GAUUGCGACCCCAGGUUAGGUGGGAUUACCCGCUGAGUUUAAGCAUAUC
rnacentral:rRNA from 1 species